GUGGUUGAUUCCCAUACAGUGGCAGGCCUAAAUGGAGGGGUACGAGCUGCUAUUGUAGCCUUGCAGAGUGCAGCUGCCGGGGUGGAAAUCUGCUGGGCUUGCCCCUUUUAACAUCAUCACUCUUUCUCUUUUGUGCAAGGGAAAGAGACUAUCUAAUCGACGACGAUUAGCACAUUGCCUCGGCCCAUCGUCCAUCGGCAAUCGAGGCAACAUCCGGCGCUAAACGUGCCGAAGCUAGUCAUCUCUUCUUUCUCGUAUUGUAAUAGAGUAGCUAUACGUGUAAACUUUCUUUAACGCGUAAUAGUUAGUUGAGUUGUGUAUUUCAUUUUUCCUUUAUUUUCAUCGUCAAUAUUUGUAAUACACCAUUUAAGUGGAAAUUCUAAAUAUUGUGUUUUGUUUACUCAA